rnacentral:rRNA from 1 species
CGGGGUGCAGCAGGCGCGAAAACUUUUCAAUGCGCGAAAGCGUGAGAAGGGAAUUCCGAGUGCUCAAGCAUUGCUUGGGCUUUUGUCAAGUGUAAAUAGCUUGGCGAAUAAGGGGUGGGUAAGACUGGUGCCAGCCGCCGCGGUAACCCCAGCGCCCCGAGUGGGAAUCACGAUUAUUGGGUCUAAAGCGUUCGUAGCAGGCUAUGUAAAUCCCUUGUGAAAUUGUCCGGCUUAACUGGACAGCGUGCAGGGGACACUGCAAAGCUCGAGACCGGGAGAGGUUAGAAGUAUUCCUUGGGUACCGGUAAAAUGGGUUAAUCCAAGGAGGACUACCAAUGGCGAAGGCAUCUGACCAGAACGGUUCUGACUGUGAGGAACGAAAGCUAGGGGAGC